UAUCCUGCAUUGUACGUAAAGUUCCAUUAUUGUUUUGAACCAAUGAUUGUUUCACGGGAUUCCAACAUCUUGACGUGGCUGACCUGCCCCCAUAAGGGGACUUCAAAAGCGUCUUUGCGGAAACCCACCUGCGAGAGCGGGUUCAUGAAACAAGUAGAACUGUACGGCAAUCGCGGGUAUU
rnacentral:other from 1 species